rnacentral:misc_RNA from 1 species
GCUGUACUUGCUUCUCUCGAGUGUCCCUAGCUGGCUGCAAACUUUCCCCCUCCUUGUUUCCUAACAGAGAGGAAACAGGGUUUUAAUGAUUAGAAGGUUUCGAUUUGGCCCCAGCCCCAGGCUAUCAGAUAGCGAAACGACAGACUCGAUCGCCGUUUAAAGCGUUCGAACACAAACGGAAAGUAGACAAACGAAAAGGGACGAGAGAAGAAGAGAGCUCCUCUUCUCUCCAGUGAUUUUGAUNAAGUAAUCGGCGAUCAGAUAGCGACCCAACAAACUUGAUAGCAGUUCAUUUCUAAUGAACC